ACGGGUGCGUAACGCGUGGGAAUCUGCCCUUUGGUCUGGGAUAACUGUUGGAAACGACAGCUAAUACCGGAUGAUGACGUAAGUCCAAAGAUUUAUCGCCAGAGGAUGAGCCCGCGUCGGAUUAGCUAGUUGGUGGGGUAAAGGCCUACCAAGGCGACGAUCCGUAGCUGGUCUGAGAGGAUGAUCAGCCACACUGGGACUGAGACACGGCCCAGACUCCUACGGGAGGCAGCAGUGGGGAAUAUUGGACAAUGGGCGAAAGCCUGAUCAGCAAUGCCGCGUGAGUGAUGAAGGCCUUAGGGUUGUAAAGCUCUUUUACCCGGGAUGAUAAUGACAGUACCGGGAGAAUAAGCUCCGGCUAACUCCGUGCCAGCAGCCGCGGUAAUACGGAGGGAGCUAGCGUUGUUCGGAAUUACUGGGCGUAAAGCGCACGUAGGCGGCUUUGUAAGUUAGAGGUGAAAGCCUGGAGCUCAACUCCAGAGCUGCCUUUGAUACUGCAUGGCUUGAAUCCAGGAGAGGUGAGUGGAAUUCCGAGUGUAGAGGUGAAAUUCGUAGA
rnacentral:rRNA from 1 species